UACAACUUGCACAAGGUUAAAUAGAAAACCAUACCUCAUAACCAGGCCCGUAAUGCUGGCUUUUUUUUAACGUACAAUUAGGGACAAUGCAACAAGGCACAUUUUAAAGAAACUGUUCUUUAUUAGUCUGUAAUUUGUGACAGUUUGACGUCAACCUAUCAACAAACUAUUAAAGAAUGACAGAAUGUUGUCAUUUAUGUUUAUAAAAUGUGUAUUAUAAAACUCACAUAAAAUAGCAAAUUCUGAAUUAACGGACGACGGACAAAAGAGAAUUCUUACUUUUGACCAUUUAAGCAUUAAAUAACAUUUUUCAAUUGAAUUUGAAUCAUCUUGCUAUCUAAAUAUUGACCAAAUACUUAGAGCGGCUUCUAAGAUCCGCUUUAUUUUUAAAUUUCCGUUUUUUAAGUGAAAACGAAUAACAUUCCUAUACCGAUGUUUGAUAUAAAACAGUGCACAAUUUUCAACGAGAACUUUACAACUUAACCGGUUCCCAAAAUAUGAGGGCUCCAUUCCAAAAGGGUUACGGGAGCUUCCGGCUCAAUCCGUUCUCUAAAUAUGAGCGAGACUUCAAGCGACUUUCAAGAUGCGCAAUAUUCCUAAAAUUUAUUGUAAAUUUUUGAGUAUAAGCUUAUUCCUAAUGCUCAUCUGCAUUAUUCUGUUCAGGAGCGAGAACAACUUGGUUGUUUUUUCCCAUUAACGGUUGAGUAUUUUUUUCUGUGACUUAAAUUUUUUUUUAACGCACUUUUACUGGACUGGGUCAUAUUCUGAUACAAACUAUUCACUAUUAAUUGUUUAUUAAACAAUAAACUAUUAACAUUAUCAAUUUUAUUAGAGAUUUUCCAAAACAAAUGGAAAGCACACAUAUAUCUAAGGCACAUGUAAAAGGCACUUAUAAAAUGGCGUUUCUACUGUAAAUCCUCAGGCUUUCCAGCAAAGCAAAAUAUUACGAUUUCCAUUAAUUCACUAGUUAGAUAUAACAAACAACGAAAAGUAUU